rnacentral:rRNA from 1 species
UACGUAGGUGACCAGCGUUGUCCGGAUUUACUGGGCGUAAAGAGCGCGCAGGCGGUCGUUCAAGUCGAGUGUGAAAGCCCCCGGCUCAACUGGGGAGGGUCAUUCGAUACUGAUCGACUCGAAGGCAGGAGAGGGAAGUGGAAUUCCCGGUGUAGUGGUGAAAUGCGUAGAUAUCGGGAGGAACACCAGUGGCGAAGGCGACUUCCUGGCCUGUUCUUGACGCUGAGGCGCGAAGGUCAGGGGAGCAAACGGG